CCAAUAGCGUAUAUUAAAGUUGUUGCAGUUAAAAAGCUCGUAGUUGAAUUUCGGGAUUGACGUGAUGGUCGUGCCUUAAGGGGUAUGAACUGUUGCUGUUGAUUUCUCACCUUCUGGAGAAACUUGAUGUCCUUAAUUGGGUGUCUUGCGGAUCCAGGACCUUUACCUUGAAAAAAUUAGAGUGUUUAAAGCAGGCAUUUUGCUCGAAUACAUUAGCAUGGAAUAAUAGAAUAGGACGGCAUGGUUCUAUUUUGUUGGUUUCUAGGAUCACCGUAAUGAUUAAUAGGGAUAGUUGGGGGCAUUAGUAUUCAAUUGUCAGAGGUGGAAUUCUUGGAUUUAUUGAAGACUAACUACUGCGAAAGCAUUUGCCAAGGAUGUUUUCAUUAAUCAAGAACGAAAGUUAGGGGAUCGAAGACGAUCAGAUACCGUCGUAGUCUUAACCAUAAACUAUGCCGACUAGGAAUCAGACGAUGUUAAUUUUUUAAUGACUCGUUUGGCACCUUACG
rnacentral:rRNA from 1 species